rnacentral:rRNA from 1 species
ACGCUGGCGGCGCGCCUAACACAUGCAAGUCGAACGGACUUAGAGAGCUUGCUCUUUAAGUUAGUGGCGGACGGGUGAGUAACACGUGAGCAACCUGCCUUUCAGAGGGGGACAACAGUUGGAAACGACUGCUAAUACCGCAUAAGACCACGGGAUGGCAUCAUCCAGCGGUCAAAGAUUUAUCGCUGAAAGAUGGGCUCGCGUCCGAUUAGAUAGUUGGUGAGGUAACGGCCCACCAAGUCGACGAUCGGUAGCCGGACUGAGAGGUUGAACGGCCACAUUGGGACUGAGACACGGCCCAGACUCCUACGGGAGGCAGCAGUGGGGGAUAUUGGACAAUUGGGGGGCAACCCUGAUCCAGCGACGCCGCGUGAGGGAAGAAGGUUUUCGGAUUGUAAACCUCUGUUGACAGGGAAGAAAAUGACGGUACCUGUUUAGAAAGCCACGGCUAACUACGUGCCAGCCGCGGC